rnacentral:rRNA from 1 species
AGAACGAACGCUGGCGGCGUGGAUAAGACAUGCAAGUCGAACGGGGCGAAUGAGAUUAUAUCAAGUUUGUUCAGUGGCGGACGGGUGCGUAACACGUGAGUAAUCUGCCGGAAGGAGGGGGAUAGCCCAUGGAAACGUGGAUUAAUACCCUGUGUGGUUUCGCCAGGCAUCUGGCGAUAACUAAAGGUGGCGCAAGCUGCCGCCUUCCGAUGAACUCGCGGCCUAUCAGCUUGUUGGCGGGGUAACGGCCCACCAAGGCGAUGACGGGUAGCUGGUCUGAGAGGAUGGCCAGCCACAUUGGGACUGAGAGACGGCCCAGACUCCUACGGGAGGCAGCAGUGGGGAAUCUUGCGCAAGU